rnacentral:rRNA from 1 species
CCUACGGGUGGCAGCAGUGGGGAAUAUUGGACAAUGGGCGAAAGCCUGAUCCAGCCAUGCCGCGUGUGUGAAGAAGGCCUUCGGGUUGUAAAGCACUUUCAGUGGGGAAGAAAGCCUUGGGGCUAAUACCCUCGAGGAAGGACAUCACCCACAGAAGAAGCACCGGCUAACUCCGUGCCAGCAGCCGCGGUAAUACGGAGGGUGCGAGCGUUAAUCGGAAUUACUGGGCGUAAAGCGCGCGUAGGCGGUCUGAUAAGCCGGUUGUGAAAGCCCCGGGCUCAACCUGGGAACGGCAUCCGGAACUGUCCGGCUAGAGUGCAGGAGAGGAAGGUAGAAUUCCCGGUGUAGCGGUGAAAUGCGUAGAGAUCGGGAGGAAUACCAGUGGCGAAGGCGGCCUUCUGGACUGACACUGACGCUGAGGUGCGAAAGCGUGGGUAGCAAACAGGAUUAGAUACCCGAGUAGUC